rnacentral:rRNA from 1 species
CACCAGACUCCUACGGGAGGCAGCAGUGGGGAAUAUUGCACAAUGGGGGAAACCCUGAUGCAGCGACGCCGCGUGAGUGAAGAAGUAUUUCGGUAUGUAAAGCCCUAUCGGCAGGGAAGAAGCAAGACGGUACCUGACUAAGAAGCCCCGGCUAACUACGUGCCAGCAGCCGCGGUAAUACGUAGGGGGCGAGCGUUAUCCGGAUUCACUGGGUGUAAAGGGAGCGUAGACGGCCAAGCAAGCCAGGGGUGAAAGCCCGGGGCCCAACCCCGGGACUGCCCUUGGAACUGCAUGGCUGGAGUGCGGGAGGGGCAGGCGGAAUUCCUGGUGUAGCGGUGAAAUGCGUAGAUAUCAGGAGGAACACCGGCGGCGAAGGCGGCCUGCUGGACCGUGACUGACGUUGAGGCUCGAGAGCGUGGGGAGCAAACAGGAUUAGAUACCCGUGUAA